GACGAACGCUGGCGGCGUGCCUAAUACAUGCAAGUUGAGCGCUGAAGGUUGGUACUUGUACCAACUGGAUGAGCAGCGAACGGGUGAGUAACGCGUGGGGAAUCUGCCUUUGAGCGGGGGACAACAUUUGGAAACGAAUGCUAAUACCGCAUAAAAACUUUAAACACAAGUUUUAAGUUUGAAAGAUGCAAUUGCAUCACUCAAAGAUGAUCCCGCGUUGUAUUAGCUAGUUGGUGAGGUAAAGGCUCACCAAGGCGAUGAUACAUAGCCGACCUGAGAGGGUGGUCGGCCACACUGGGACUGAGACACGGCCCAAACUCCUACGGGAGGCAGCAGUAGGGAAUCUUCGGCAAUGGACGAAAGUCUGACCGAGCAACGCCGCGUGAGUGAAGAAGGUUUUCGGAUCGUAAAACUCUGUUGGUAGAGAAGAACGUUGGUGAGAGUGGAAAGCUCAUCAAGUGACGGUAACUACCCAGAAAGGGACGGCUAACUACGUG
rnacentral:rRNA from 1 species